UACGUAGGGGCAAGCGUUGUCCGGAAUUAUUGGGCGUAAAGAGCUUGUAGGAGGUUUGUAGCGUCUGCUGUGAAAAUCCGGGGCUCAACCCCGGACUUGCAGUGGGUACGGGCAGACUAGAGUGUGGUAGGGGAGACUGGAAUUCCUGGUGUAGCGGUGAAAUGCGCAGAUAUCAGGAGGAACACCGAUGGCGAAGGCAGGUCUCUGGGCCACUACUGACGCUGAGAAGCGAAAGCAUGGGGAGCGAACAGGAUUAGAUACCCCCGUA
rnacentral:rRNA from 1 species